CUUGUUUGACAGUGAGUUGAAGGACACAGACUUUAAGAGUCGUUUUGUCGAGGGAAGUAAGCAACCAGAUGAAGACUUUAAUGUGGCCAUGCAAAGAGGUUACAGCAUACCUCUUGGAAUAUGGUCAGUGAAAAGGAGCAGCCUGAGAGGGCUAGAUUCUACUACAGCCCUCCGUACAGUGAGUACAUCGUAGAGGACCAUAAGCAGGUGUGUCUGAAGUACCUGGUACAGUUUACCCAGGCCAGCCCCAGAUAACACACACCACCCUCUGACACAGGCGACGCUACCCCUCAACAAGUGCACAGGAUGUGGUUUGGUGUCCAUACACAAGAUAAAAUUUUAAACAUUAUGCUCACACUUAUCAGGUAUAAACAUGUAUAAUUCACAACAGUGGUAGACUACAAAACGGACAUUUAUAAAAGAUAUUUUUACAAUAGUGAUAAAGUGGAAAAAUUGACACAAGUUUUGUACCUGGGACUAUAUUAAUGUCUGGCCAUCAAUCUGUGUAAGAAGAACUGGAUGUUUAUCAUCAUUGGAUAUUAUCAUAUUUAGAUUGUUGUAGAUCCAAUACUACUGUUGUUGAUUAGAUCUGUGAACUUAUUUGCACUGUUGUUUGUGGUGUAAAAGUUUAGGUAGCUAAUGUUGUUCACUUAUUUAAAUCAUCAGCAUUUCAUGUUAUUGCAUUUUUU